rnacentral:snRNA from 1 species
AAGGUUAGGAGGUUAACUGCCUUCUUGAUCGCAGGAGUGAGGGCCUUCCAUUGCACUAUUCGGUGGACUUGACCUCCUCCAAUAUCCCAAAUGUGGAUAACCGGAUAGCAUAAUUUCUGGUAGUGGGGAUCUGCGUGCGCGCUAAUCCCCU